UUUCAAUUUCAACGCUUCUUGCUCUGUCUUUUGCUCAUAUGUAAGCACAACACCUGGCAUUGGUUUUUAGCCAUAUAUACAUGUCUCAAUGCCUGCUUGGGAGUUACAUUGAUUGGUAAUUCAAUGUCAUAUUGACUUUUCGACAUCAGUUAGAAAGUUUCUGAAGUGGCCCUCUUUUGAUGCUUACCACAUUAAGAGCAAAAAGGUAAAUGCCU
rnacentral:lncRNA from 1 species